rnacentral:snRNA from 1 species
GGAUGCAAGGGUGCUCUGGCUGGGACAACAGUCGCCCCAUUGAUUGCCAGGGCGGAUGAGGCUGAUCUGGCGAUGUCCCCUUCCUCCCUCCACUGUACCAUGAGCGUCUCUCCUGAACCCGCAUGGACAGUCGAAGAGGAUGCCCUUCCCUGAUAGAGGAGGACCAUUCUUCUUCAGUCCAGGGUAUCCAAGAAGCUGCGUGCCCCUUGUGCUAGAACCUGCAAACAAGCUCUCAAGGCCCAUCUGUAGGAGAAUGUAGGGUGGUCACACUUCCUCCAGGCACAUCCAUAGGAGGCACGGUGUAUGGCAGUCUGCCUUUCUGG